rnacentral:rRNA from 1 species
GGCGUCGGAGUUCCCUCCAACCCAGGUGACCAUACCAAACUGUUGCCUCGGCGGGGUCACGCCCCGGGUGCGUCGCAGCCCCGGAACCAGGCGCCCGCCGGAGGGACCAACCAAACUCUUUCUGUAGUCCCCUCGCGGACGUUAUUUCUUACAGCUCUGAGCAAAAAUUCAAAAUGAAUCAAAACUUUCAACAACGGAUCUCUUGGUUCUGGCAUCGAUGAAGAACGCAGCGAAAUGCGAUAAGUAAUGUGAAUUGCAGAAUUCAGUGAAUCAUCGAAUCUUUGAACGCACAUUGCGCCCGCCAGUAUUCUGGCGGGCAUGCCUGUCCGAGCGUCAUUUCAACCCUCGAACCCCUCCGGGGGGUCGGCGUUGGGGAUCGGGAACCCCUAAGACGGGAUCCCGGCCCCGAAAUACAGUGGCGGUCUCGCCGCAGCCUCUCCUGCGCAGUAGUUUGCACAACUCGCACCGGGAGCGCGGCGCGUCCACGUCCGUAAAACACCCAACUUCUGAAAUGUUGACCUCGGAUCAGGUAGGAAUACCCGCUGAACUUAAGCAUAUCAAUAAGCGGAGGAA